rnacentral:ncRNA from 1 species
CAAAGGUUUGGUCCUGGCCUUCCUAUUAGUUCUUAGUAAACUUACACAUGCGAGUCUCCGCAUUCCAGUGAAAAUGCCCUCCAAAUCACCUUGUGAUUAUAAAGGAGCGGGUAUCAAGCGCACUAUAAUAAGUAGCUCACAACACCUUGCUCAGCCACACCCCCACGGGACACAGCAGUGACAAAAAUUAAGCUAUGAACGAAAGUUCGACUAAGUUAUACUAACAAAGGGUUGGUAAAUUUCGUGCCAGCUACCGCGGUCACACGAUUGACCCAAACUAAUAAGCUCACGGCGUAAAACGUGUUAAAGAAAUACCCAACACUAAAGUUAAAAUCUGACCAGGUCGUAAAAAACUACUGCCAGUACAAAAUAUACCACGAAAGUGACUUUAUCAGUUCUGACUACACGAUAGCUAAGACCCAAACUGGGAUUAGAUACCCCACUAUGCUUAGCCCUAAACAUAGAUAAUUUUAAUGUAACAAAAUUGCAUGCCAGAGAACUACUAGCAACAGCUUAAAACUCAAAGGACUUGGCGGUGCUUUAUAUCCCUCUAGAGGAGCCUGUUCUGUAAUCGAUAAACCCCGAUAAACCUCACCACUUCUAGCUAAAUCAGUCUAUAUACCGCCAUCUUCAGCAAACCCUUAAAAGGAGUAAAAGUAAGCACAAUCAUCAGACAUAAAAAAGUUAGGUCAAGGUGUAGCCUAUGGAGUGGGAAGAAAUGGGCUACAUUUUCUAAGCAAGAACAUACCCAUGUACGAAAGUCCUUAUGAAAAUCAAAGACUAAAGGAGGAUUUAGUAGUAAAUUAAGAAUAGAGAGCUUAAUUGAAUUGGGCCAUGAAGCACGCACACACCGCCCGUCACCCUCCUCAAGCAAUACAACCCGAACACAUCAUAUAACUAACUAAAUAAAGCAAGAGGAGACAAGUCGUAACAAGGUAAGCAUACUGGAAAGUGUGCUUGGAUAAAC